CAGGAGAAAAGGGAUUC
rnacentral:tRNA from 1 species